UGGGGAAUCUUGCGCAAUGGGCGAAAGCCUGACGCAGCAACGCCGCGUGGAGGAAGAAGGCCUUCGGGUUGUAAACUCCUGUCAGGGGGAAAGAAGGCACCUGGGUUAAUAGCCCAAGGGCUGACGGUACCCCCAGAGGAAGCCACGGCUAACUACGUGCCAGCAGCCGCGGUAAUACGUAGGUGGCGAGCGUUGUCCGGAAUCAUUGGGCGUAAAGCGCGCGUAGGCGGCUUGUCAGGUCCGAUGUGAAACCUUGGGGCUUAACUCCAAGCGUGCAUCGGAAACCGGCUUGCUAGAGUCUGGGAGAGGGAAGUGGAAUUCCUGGUGUAGCGGUGAAAUGCGUAGAUAUCAGGAGGAACACCAGUUGCGAAGGCGGCUUCCUGGAACAGUACUGACGCUGAGGCGCGAAAGCUAGGGGAGCGAACAGG
rnacentral:rRNA from 1 species